AACCAGACUCCUACGGGAGGCAGCAGUGGGGAAUAUUGCACAAUGGGGGAAACCCUGAUGCAGCGACGCCGCGUGAGUGAAGAAGUAUUUCGGUAUGUAAAGCUCUAUCAGCAGGGAAGAAAAUGACGGUACCUGACUAAGAAGCCCCGGCUAACUACGUGCCAGCAGCCGCGGUAAUACGUAGGGGGCAAGCGUUAUCUGGAUUUACUGGGUGUAAAGGGAGCGUAGACGGCAGAGCAAGUCUGAAGUGAAAGCCCGCGGCCCAACUGCGGGACUGCUUUGGAAACUGCCCGGCUAGAGUGCUGGAGAGGUAAGCGGAAUUCCUAGUGUAGCGGUGGAAUGCGUAAAUAUUAGGAGGAACACCAGUGGCGAAGGCGGCUUACUGGGCUUUAACUGACGCUGAGGCUCGAAAGCGUGGGGAGCAAACAGGAUUAGAUACCCCAGUAAU
rnacentral:rRNA from 1 species